rnacentral:rRNA from 1 species
GUCCACGCCCUAAACGAUGGAUGCUAGACGUAAGAGGUAUCGACCCCUCUUGUGUCGCAGCUAACGCAUUAAGCAUCCCGCCUGGGGAGUACGGCCGCAAGGUUGAAACUCAAAUGAAUUGACGGGGACCCGCACAAGCGGUGGAGCAUGUGGAUUAAUUCGAUACUAACCGAAGAACCUUACCCAGGUUUGACAUCGAUCGAAAAGCCUAGAGAUAGGCUCCUGAACCACAAGUUCACGUGAAGACAGAUGUUGCAUGGCUGUCGU